CAGUACUGCAGACAUAGCCAGGUAUAACAAGGAUAGAAUUACUCAAAAUAACAGAAUCUGCAGUGGCUUAGAGGCAGUAGAGCAGGCCCAGGACAUGAAGGACCCAGGUUUAAAUUCCCUGUCUGGCACCUGUGGGGUGACAACGCCUGACCGUCUGGAUUUCAUGUUGAGAACCUGGGACAUCUGAAAUAAAUUAAUCCUCUCCCAACAGGUAUAAAACAGAGAUGUACCCUGAGCCCUUGGUUCGUAUCAAUAACACACUAG